AGUUUGAUCCUGGCUCAGGAUGAACGCUAGCUACAGGCUUAACACAUGCAAGUCGAGGGGCAGCAUUGGAGUAGCAAUACUUCAGAUGGCGACCGGCGCACGGGUGAGUAACACGUAUCCAACCUGCCGCUUACUCGGGGAUAGCCUUUCGAAAGAAAGAUUAAUACCCGAUGGUAUAAAGAGUUCGCAUGUUCUCUUUAUUAAAGAAUUUCGGUAAGCGAUGGGGAUGCGUUCCAUUAGAUUGUUGGCGGGGUAACGGCCCACCAAGUCUACGAUGGAUAGGGGUUCUGAGAGGAAGGUCCCCCACAUUGGAACUGAGACACGGUCCAAACUCCUACGGGAGGCAGCAGUGAGGAAUAUUGGUCAAUGGACGAGAGUCUGAACCAGCCAAGUAGCGUGAAGGAUGACUGCCCUAUGGGUUGUAAACUUCUUUUAUAAGGGAAUAAAGUGAGGGACGUGUCCCUUUUUGUAUGUACCUUAUGAAUAAGGAUCGGCUAACUCCGUGCCAGCAGCCGCGGUAAUACGGAGGAUCCAAGCGUUAUCCGGAUUUAUUGGGUUUAAAGGGAGCGUAGGUUGACAUAUAAGUCAGCUGUGAAAGUUUACGGCUCAACCGUGAAAUUGCAGUUGAUACUGUAUGUCUUGAGUGUACAAGAGGUGGGCGGAAUUCGUGGUGUAGCGGUGAAAUGCUUAGAUAUCACGAAGAACUCCAAUUGCGAAGGCAGCUCACUGGGGUACAACUGACACUGAGGCUCGAAAGUGUGGGUAUCAAACAGGAUUAGAUACCCUGGUAGUCCACACAGUAAACGAUGAAUACUCGCUGUUUGCGAUAUACAGUAAGCGGCCAAGCGAAAGCAUUAAGUAUUCCACCUGGGGAGUACGCCGGCAACGGUGAAACUCAAAGGAAUUGACGGGGGCCCGCACAAGCGGAGGAACAUGUGGUUUAAUUCGAUGAUACGCGAGGAACCUUACCCGGGCUUGAAUUGCAGAGGAAUAUAGUUGAAAGAUUAUAGCCGCAAGGUCUCUGUGAAGGUGCUGCAUGGUUGUCGUCAGCUCGUGCCGUGAGGUGUCGGCUUAAGUGCCAUAACGAGCGCAACCCUUAUCAUUAGUUACUAACAGGUCAUGCUGAGGACUCUAGUGAGACUGCCGUCGUAAGAUGUGAGGAAGGUGG
rnacentral:rRNA from 1 species